AUAAAUUUAGUUAUCCCGAUGGUUUUCAAUUAAGGAAACAGCGAGGAAGUUCCAAUGACUUAUUUUCCGGAUUGUUGAGUAAAAAACGUCAAGUUAACAGUUUGAAAUGCGUGAGUUAAACUGGAAUUAACGUCAACGUAUUGUGUUAAUCCGAACACGCACGUUUAAGCCUCGGGCGAACGUUGAUUUUGCAUUGUAAAAUUGAAGAACCAUCGCGUGCUACCAUUUAUUAACGAUAAUGAAGAUUACGUAAAAAUUUAUGUACUAUAUCUUCUUUAGAUGAGAACGUAGAAUAUUAUUUUAAACUCGCAAUUUACAAUUACAAAUAUGCCAAGAUACUAAUAAUAGCAAUAGAAGCAAACCAACGAACGAUAUAUUUCUUUGAAGUUUUAGAAAAGGUAUAAUCAUUGUAAGAGAUGGUAGGAUGAGGUGAAGCUCUCAAGAAUAAUAUCUCACUUUGAUAAACACCAGAGUUGGAAUCGUUCGUUUAUUGUAUGCAUAUUCAUCACGGUCUCGCAAUAACUACUAGAUCCCUUGGUGUGUUUGUCUUAAGAAGAGGAAGUUUGCAGCUUUCUUGUCAUGCUGGUAUCUUUAAGCGGUAUUGAUGAUAGGUAGUGGUUACUGCCAGGAAGACGCGAAUGAAACACGGAAAUAAGAGCAUAUCCAAGACUUCACAAGGUCGGUGUUACUUGGAGCAGAUCCUCAGUUAUAAUAUUGCAUCUUAGCCAAAUGCCAUAACCUCCCAUGGUGACGAGGUUGAAGGUCUACUCCUUAUUUUGCCGCUUACAGCCUCUAAUCUAGACGUGUAUCAUCUUCAUUUUGACCCAACUAACAACAUAUGAACAACGAGAUUCAGCCGUUUUGAAUGGAUGAUAUGGUGGUUAUUGUGAUGUAAUGAACAUCUGCUGUGGUUUCUGAGGAAGUUUCUCCAAACGCUGAAGAAUAAAAUAUGCACCUUCCAGAUAGACUAAAGAAGGCAUGAAUUUGGUCUCGAUAAAUCUUUUGCAUCGACUUCCUCUGCGUUUCUCUUGAUCUAUCUUUGCUGGAGUCUUAGCCGAUUAUCAAUAAUGUAGUAAUCAGCGACCACCACGACCAUUGCAACGUUGAAUGUGCCUGCGAUCUUGGUUAGAACCAACAGCUUGAUGGUAAUUAUUUAACACUCCAAUGGCACAGUCUUGAAAAUGAAUAAUCCUUCUUCUUGGUGUCUCGAUGACUCAUUAUGCAACUAGAUACAAAAAUGAGUAUAUCUUGUCAAGUAAUGCAGUUGAUAAGAGAUGUGAUCGCCGCUGGUACACCUCGGAGAUAAUUAUGGGAGGCUGAGUUGGAGAUAAUAUUGAAUCUCCUUCUAAUAAUUGAGUCUCGGUGUGUGAUGGAGAGGGAGCUUCCGGAGUUGAUGAUUAGUUAUCCCCGUUGAAAAAUGCUCUUUAAGUAUUGAGUCUCAUUUUGGUCAGAAGUUCUAUUUCCAAAGCAGGCAAUUUUGCUUCAUGAUCUUUCCAGUAUUGAUCCAGUUAUGGUUUCAAAACUUUAUAUAUAUAAAAAGGGGUCAAUCUGGAACAAAGAGGCAAAAUCACUAAACUUAAAGACAGUGAAAAGGAGAUGCUAAAAAGAAUAGAAAGAAACGAAAUGAAAACAAGCAAAAAGAAGCUACUUGGAGC